CAUAUGCGUUGCGCCGAUUAAGCUUUCUUCUCACUCUCGAACUCGUCUCUCCUUCUGUUCUCUCACUAAGGCGAACGGCGCCGGAGCGCCUCCCUUCUUCUCCGACCAAACCAAAAUCAAACACCACCGUGAACCCCAUCUGACCACCAUAAUGACCAUCCCUAUCGUCUCAACCUUUCGUCUUUCUCUGAUUAGAUUCAAUAAUUAAUCAAAAACAAGCGCAUACUCAGAAAAUGGGGGCAAUAGGACUCACCUGAAUUUGUGAACGGAGAUUGACAAUUGAUAACACCAGAGAGGAGGUUCCGAUAUGCAAUUUGGCGAAAUAAACGCUAAGAGUUCUUCAAUCCUGUUCCCAUUUCUUUUCUUCUUGCUCUAUCUACUUUUUAUGUUCCCAUUUCUUUUCUUCUUGCUCUAUCUACUUUUUCUGAAUUUUUCUAUGUGAGUGUUGAAUCGAGGAUGGUGAACGAUUGAUGAUUCUGCAGAUGCGUCGAAGCUUUGAUUAUGGUGAUGUUGGCUGAAGUGUAGAUGGAGAUGAAGAACAGUGAGGGAUAUUGAGAAAGAUUGAAGAUUGAAUAUGAAGGAGGUCCCCGAGAGAAAUGGUGGAGAUUGAAGGUUAUGUGGUGAGAAGGUUGAAGAACGAUGAAGAGAGGUUCAGAGAUGGUCAGAGAGUGAGGUGAUUCAAGAUGAAGAUGGAAUAGGCUCCAGGUGAGAGAGAGAAAAAAUGGGAGCUUUGAUUUGGAUGGAGCUUCGACUUUAUAGCAAAUGCCAGCAUAUUUUAGAACCGUGAGCCAUUGGUAUCACAUCAGUUUCGAUGCAAUUCUCAAUGCGUAGCUUGCUCGAGUUUGGGUCAUGAGGGAGGUUGAGUUUGGUUUGUUAAAGUGUGAAAUGCUGUUAGCUUUGGUUUGAGUUUAGUAUGGCUGAACUGUUUUGUGUGAUGAUGUAUUUGGUUUUUAUACUGCUGCAAAAUGGUGGUUACAGUUGCAGGGCAGAUUUUAGGUACGUGAGGCAAAAGCUUAUGGCAUGAUUCUGGAUUAUUUGGAACUGUUUUCAGUAUACAUGAAGCAAGGUUAUCGGGUGGAUUAUGGUUUGAGAAACUGCUGCAAGGCUACCGUGUUGCGUUGAUGUGGAUAUGGAGCGGAGGUAUUUGCUACGAAUAUUGCCAUUACGUCUUGCUCAUCACUAAUACAAACUGCUGCAAUCAUGUAGCACAUUGGACACUCACCUUACAAAUGUUGCAGGCCUGAGCCGUAUGAUGCAGGUUGCUCUUGUGUUAAUCACCUCUGAUUGGAAUUCCGUCUUUGCGAACUGAGCCGUUUCUUUAUUUGAACAAGGACUGAUGUGUUCUCGUCUCUGCUUUUUCUGUUUUGAAUUGUGCAGCAAAUUUUGGAUCUGACAUCUGUGUGAUUUGAAAUGAAUGUAUAUGAAACUGUUACAGGGGCUGCAGGUAUGGUUUACUGAAUCGGUGCAGCGUUGAUUUAGGCAUGAAUCUGCUGUGUAAGCUUCAGUUCUUUCCCUUUUAAAACUUUUUUUUUUCGAAUUUAUUGUUUGAACUGAUAUGUGAGGUAAUUCACUGCCCUGUUGCUGUUCCGUUUCGGUAUGAUCUGAAGUAGCCUUGAAAUUCACUUAUUGUUGAUGCCGUUUUGGUUUUGAAGUGUAGAACUUCUUUUGUUAUGGACUGGCGGUUUGGUUUUCUUCUUGGAUUUGUAUGAAAUGUGCAUUGAAUCUUUUGAUGGGAGAUUCCUUUGUGUGUAGGAGUUAUUAUACAAUUUUAAGGGAUUAUGAAUGGUAUUGGUGUAUGAAUGUAUGGUGGGUGUAUGGGCUGACUUGUGUAUUUCUGUGCUAAUUAUUCUUCCUUUUUGUUUCACUUGAUGUAUGAUGGCAAAAUCAAUGGAGCAUUUUCGAAACCUUGACGUGGGGAAACAAACUUGGAAUGACAAUGAAGUGAAGAGGAACAUGUCUUUAAGCUGCUGAAUUAGAGAGGAACAUGCCUUAGGAUAGAUUGAGGAAACCAAAGUCAAUGUUCAACUGUGUCAAAAUCUAAGUUUUUUUCAUGUAAUUUCAAUUCUGAUUUUUUUGUAAUGGGCUUUCUGAUGUUUGUAAGCAAUUCGACCUCCAGAAUGAAAUUUACCCAUUUGAAUGUGUC